GCGGGUGUAACUCAGCGGCUAGAGUUCCUGCCUUCCAAGCAGGAUGUCGUGGGUUCGAAUCCCAUCACCCGCU
rnacentral:tRNA from 1 species